rnacentral:rRNA from 1 species
UGCCAGCAGCCGCGGUAAUACGAAGGUCCCAAGCGUUGUUCGGAAUCACUGGGCGUAAAGCGUGUGUAGGCGGCGUGGUAAGUCAGAUGUGAAAUCUCCGGGCUCAACCCGGAAACUGCAUCCGAUACUGCCACGCUAGAGUGUCGGAGGGGAGGCUGGAAUUCACGGUGUAGCAGUGAAAUGCGUAGAUAUCGUGAGGAACACUAGUGGCGAAGGCGAGUCUCUGGACGAUUACUGACGCUCAGACACGAAGGCUAGGGUAGCGAAAGGGAUUAGAUA